rnacentral:lncRNA from 1 species
UCCAAGUGUUCUUUAUUUUUAUGAAAUGGAUAUGAAAUAUUUGGUGUUAAGCAUCACCAACUUGUGGUUCCAAUUAGAAUCUUGGGCAUCAAAUUGGCACUGAUUAUGAUAUUGUGAGUCCCAGACAGGUACAUCUGUUAAGUACUAAAACUAGUUUAUUUAAACCUCCAAAUACAUCAUGGAAUUUAUAAAAAAAAAAUUAAAAAUAUUCAUGACCUCAUUUGACCAUGAACCCAUGUAAUCAUUUAUCAUAC